rnacentral:lncRNA from 10 species
UUUCACCUAAUGUAAUUCAAAGAUGAUUGACACCACUGCAUUAGAGUCGUCUUCUCAACAAUGUGGAUUAAAGAGGCAAACAAACCGUAGGUGGAUUUGUGCUUUCCUGAACCAAACCUAUGUUAAGUGUUUGACUUGGAGAUUUAUCUAAAUAAAUGAGGGCAAGCUACAAUUUCUAAUUGACAAGUAAAGUCUAAGACACUGACUAAUACAGGACAGCAUAAGUUUAAACCACAGAAAACAUCAAAACCUAGCUUGGCUUUGUUUAGUAUGUGUCAUAACUUGGUGAUUCAAAGGAUCUUUGCUUUUUAGCUUCCAAGUGAAAGGGUUUGUUUAUGGUGUCUACAAAGGGACACAGGAUUUUCUCCCUUCUCUGACAUAUGAUCUUUCUUUUGAUUGUGUUCUCCAAUGAGAAAAAAAGCAUUGUUAUAGUUAGGUACUCUUCCUAAUAUAUACUUUUGAUCUUUCUAACUAUACUAUAAGUUCCAUAAUGAUGGGGAUCUUUUAUGUCUUGGUAACAUCCCAGCCCCCUUUAUCCACAUUGUGAGUUAUCACUCCAUACACCUUCAUCAUAGUCAUAAUGAUUUGGGGUUAUUUCUUGCAAAGAAUAUUUAUUCCCAGGCCAUUCCUCCAAUUCUUAUCUAAAGUCUCAAGAGAAGUAAUUCUAGGAACAUUGAAGAGUCUUCAAAUCGCACAAGGGUAAAAUCAGGCUUCAUAUCAGACAGCACAACACUUGUACAUUUCCAAACUGAUUUGCAGGAUGAUACAUUCAGAUUCUCAGAGGAAGCCUAUAAAACAAAUAUUCGUUGAGCAUCUAAUCCAGUCUAUGAGCCUUGCCUGAAGGAGAUGGGAAAAAAAUGACACGGCUUUAACCUCAGAGGGUCUACAGAAAAGGUAUCUUGCUUUCACUUUUCUUUGCACACAGUAGGUGUUCAAUACAUAGCUAAAGAAUUA